rnacentral:rRNA from 1 species
AUACGGAGGGUGCAAGCGUUAUUCGGAAUCACUGGGCGUAAAGGACGCGUAGGCGGGUUGGCAAGUCAGAUGUGAAAUCCUACAGCUUAACUGUAGAACUGCAUUUGAAACUGCUAACCUAGAGUAUGGGAGGGGGAGAUGGAAUUAGUGGUGUAGGGGUAAAAUCCGUAGAUAUCACUAGGAAUACCGAAAGCGAGGGCGAUCUCCUGGAACAUAACUGACGCUAAGGCGUGAAAGCGUGGGGAGCAAACAGGAUUAGAAACCCUUGUGGUCC